rnacentral:hammerhead_ribozyme from 1 species
AUCCAGCUGACUAGUCUCAAAUAAGACGUAACGCGAGUCAAACUGGAU